UAAAAGGUCUUUGAAAUGUAACUGGGAAAGCUUGUUUUUUCAUCCCAGUGUGUUUGAAUGUAAUAGUUCAUUAUUACUAGUUGUUAGAAAACUAUUGAAGUUUAUACCAGCCAGCCUACCAGAGAGUUAGGAAGACUUAUCCGCUUAUGAAGCAGGCACAAAGGGCAGAAGUUUAAAAACACAGUGAUGGGUUUGUGUAGUUAAAGAGCGUUGCUCAAACACUCAAAAUUGAAAGUGACUGGAGGAGAGUUAAAUUUUAUUACAAGUGUGCAGCUCAGAAGAUGUAAAAAUGGAGGUGGUGUAAAGCCAAAGAUUUCUGCAAAACAGAAGGGAGAGUCGGGAUCUGAGAAGACACGAGCGUACUGAAUAUUGUCCAUCAAUCAAUGGUGUGAAUCAGAGGAGAUUUAGUCUGGGGAUUGAAAAAUGCCAUUUUCCAUUAGUAAGGUUGUCAAAAUGUUCUUUACUUCCAUACUCCAUCUGAUAUUAGUGUGCUACAGUCUCCAUUUAACGACCGAUAUUAUUAAAAAGUACAGAAGCUUUGAAAUAACUACAGAUCUUCAUUCAGAUUUUAAGCCAAAAUGCCACAAGCAAAAUAGAGCAACCUUACCUUUGGUAUGUUAAAGUAACAUGUUACAAUGUUAUAAUGCACUUAGCAGACGCUUUUAUCCAAAGCGACAUACAUCAGAGAGUAAGUACAACACUAAUCCAUUCAUACAUCGCCACUGAAGCAAUGCAAGGUUAAGGAUACUUUAUUUAUAAGAAGAAAGUGCAGAAAAACCUGGAGGAGCCAAGACAACAACACAAUAGGCCAAUUUCAGUACAACUAGAAGAACCAAAACAAGAAGAACAUAUUUAUG